rnacentral:rRNA from 1 species
UCAAUGAUAAGAAAUUAUGAUAAUAUAAGUAGAUUUAAAUUUACGAUUGGAAUUCAUUUAAGUUUUCCAAUCUUAUCUAUUACAUUUUAUAUGAUAAAAGAACUCGGCAAAUAAAAUCUCCGAAUGUUUAACAAAAACAUUUCCUCUUAGAAUAGGAGGUAAAGCCUGCUCACUGAGUAUUUAAAGAGCCGCAGUAUUCUGACUGUGCUAAGGUAGCAUAAUCAUUAGUCUUUUAAUUGGAGACUGGCAUGAAUGGCUUAACGAGAGAUUAACUUUUUUUAUUAUAAAAGUAGAAUUUAUUUUUUUAGUGAAAAAACUAAUAUGAUCUAGAAAGACGAGAAGACCCUAUAGAGUUUAAUACAGUUAACUGUAAUAUUGUAGUGGGUUUACAUCGAUGUGACAGGAACCUGUAAUUAGUUGGGGCGACGUUAAGAUAUAAAAAACUCUUUUUUCUGAUAAUUUCUAUAGAAAUAUUAAUUGACCCUCUAUAAGGGAUAAUAAGAAAAAAUUACCUUAGGGAUAACAGCGU